GGUUGGUCUUCGCCCCGAGGGAUGGGGAGCUGCUGCUAGGGUAUGUUUGAGACAUCGGGGCAGUCCUGUAGAGGAUUCUGCAGAGUCACAUCAGGCAUGGUGGUUCUAGUUGAUUCAUCUAAUUGACAUAAAAUUAGAGAUGUCUGAAAAUUUUUUGUAACUUUUCAGUAUUUUACCUAUGCAGGAUGGUAUAAUUGUGAGAAUAAUUAAUAAUUUGUUAAUAGUAACCUGUUCUUUAAAUUGUCUAUUAAACUUAAUGCUUUUUAGAUUGUUUGUAUACUUUUGAAUUGUAGGUCUAUUCAAUGAUUAAUGAUCAUUUUCUCCUAUUCUGUACUGACAACCUAAUAUUUUAAAAAGAAAUGACUUGCAGUUUAGAAUGACCCAACUCCAUUAGAGCCUGACAAUCAUUAAUUGUCAAACUUUAAUUCAGGUGGAUCACCUAAUAAUUUUUUGGGCAUUUGUGUAGCUUCAACUUACCUAAACUCUGAUACGAUGAGAAAACAUGCCUGCAUUUUAAUUCAUGUUUGGUUUAUUUAUUAACCACCAGGUGGGUAGUUCAGAAUACAGACUCAGGAGCUAGAAUCAUUUGAGUUUGAUUCCCAGCUCAACUCCCGACCGGUUGUAUGAUCUUGGAUGAGUCACUGAAAUUCUCUGUGCCUUGGGUUUCUUCCCUGAGAAAUGAGGAAGUGAUAGUACUUAUGAGGUAUAAAUGGGUCCGGAUACAUAGAGCACUUGGAAUAGGUUUUGACACAGAUAAAAUGGUACUGUGUGUGUCUAGGUUUUCCAAGAAGCAGAUGCUUAGAUGGGAUUACAUGUGCAAGAAUUUGAUCUUGGGAAAUGGCUGCAGAGCAAAGGAAGGGGAAGCUCAGACAAGCUGAAAGCAAAGUUGUCAAUGGUGAUGCAAGUCUGACCCUGAGGAAAGGAGAGAGAGAGAGGGUCGAGUGGAAGCAUCUUGGUGGGUCCUGCGAUUUAAUGGACAUCAGACAAGGCUGAGAGCGAGUCACAGAGCUAAAGUCGGUUAUCAAGGGAGGGGUCCCAUGUCAGUGGAGUCCUGUGGCUCCUGGGAGUGGUCCUGAUGUGGUGAUCAUUGUUGAGGGACACCCCAUGGAAGGUGUGACCUCAGGGCAAAGUGCCAUAGAUUCAGAGUGCAGCAGUGGGCCCUGCCAUUUCCAUUUCCUGCAGUUGGAGUCUGUGAUGUUCAUUCUCACAGCGGCCCAUGACCAUAUGUGUUAGUUAGUAUUGUAGUCUUUAAUUUGUUUGCACAUGGACUAAUUUGUUAAUACAGAUAUCAGCAAACCUUUGCAGUUAAUGGGCCACAUAGUGUUUUAGACUAGAUAAAGUCUCUGCUGCGACUGUGUGUAAUCCCACUCAAUAUUAUAAAUGCCAAGUUGAGAAUGUACAAAUUUCUUGGAGAACAUAAAACAGAGCCUAUCUUGGCCUCAAAAACUGGGCAGCUGUUGUGAAGUCUAUGGUGUACCUGAGUACUAUUUACUAAGUAGCCAUGUCAGAAAUCAAAGUCACGUAUUCCACCAGGUGAAGAACUUAUCUUCCAUAGGAUAAGAUAGUACAAGGUGUUCCUCUGUUUCUUAACUUUGGGAUCAUGCUCCGGGGAGCUCACAUGCCUUGGGUUUGUAGUAGUCGAUGUCUGUGUUCCAGGCUUGGUUCUGCCACUGGAUUGAGUGGUUUAGAGCCUCUGGGUAAAGUCCUACCUUUGCUCUGCUUGCCUGCUUCAUCAGUAAAAGGCAGCAGUAACCUCGUGGGGAUGUUGUUAAGAUUAAGUGACAUGAUGCAUAAUGAAUGUCCGAUACACUGACUGGCAAAUAGCUAAUACCCAGUGAAGGAAGAUAAAUAAGACUCCAAAAAAGAAAAACAAACACCAAGCUUUCAUAAUGAAGUCUUGUCAUCUGUAGACAAGAUUAAUUAAAACCAUCACAUGUAAUAAAGUGAAUGUGAAAAAUAAAGGAGCUAAUUACAAAGGGUACAUAUUAUUUGAGAAUUCCCCUCCUGAGUUCCUGUGCUGGAACAAAUCUGGAUAGCAUACAAAUAUUCUCUAAGAAAUUGGCAAAUUCCAAAAUUAAUCCCUAGCUUUGGAUCCUGAGGUGGAGCUGGGAUGCAUCAGUGUUUUUCCCUCUUAGUUUCUUGUUGGUUGUUGUGUGUUAUAAGUAUGGAGCAGUGCAGUGCAAGUAUGUGCAUAUCAACAGCAAAAUAAAGGAGCAAGAUGUCAUUAUGUUGAUGAUAAAAUCUUGGAGAACUCUCUACAGUAAAACCAUUGACAAAUGAGGCAAAGUCAGAGUCAUCAAUAGUAAUGAGAGAAGAAUAGUACAGAUGAAGCAAUGAAAGAUGCUUCCGAAGAUGACGAAUAGCCAAACAUUGAGAGAGGCUUUGGGAAAUUCUGAAAUCCUCCCUCAGAGUUUUUGCAAUGAGGACUCUUUCUUUAUAACUGGCAUCUGGGGAAGGCCAUACAAAGCAAA